AAAUAAUCGAGGUAACAAAACAUCCGAAACGAAACGACCAAACAUGUCCGACCAAAUCUUUUAUUUGACGAGUCAUUCAGAUUGAGAAGAAGGAGAGGUAUAAGCUACAAUGCCUGGGUGUAUAGCAGGUUACUGCACAAACUGCCAAAUAAGGUAAAUGUCGUUUUUCACGAGACCCAAAAAGAAGAAAAAUUUGGGUUAAAAAUACAGGACGACUGGAUUCGGUCUGAAUUCAAUCUAAUUCGGUGUUAUAUGAGGUAUAUUAUGUUGCCACGAAUGUAUUGCUGCCACGAGAUCAAAGACACACCAAGCACGCAUACCUUUGAUGCAUUUACACGCAUUAAAUGUUUCACACAAGAGACAUUAUUUUAUGUCAAUUCUUCAACGUUUCAAGUUUUUUAA